rnacentral:lncRNA from 1 species
CAGUGUCUCAGUCAGAACUCAUGAUCCCAAGAGGUGCUACAGGUGGUCAGACGUACUUUACAAAAGGUGGYUCAGAGGUCAACACCAUGGUGAUACACCCCGGAGUCCUAAGACUGGAGUCAUUGUGAUGGAUGCACGGUUACAGACGGAGGAGAACAAACCCAGGCAAGCCUCCCCGACAACAAGACAGAUGGCCCAGUUACCUCUGUCACACUCACUGGCCGAUGGAAGGACAACUACCAGAUACACAGCCAAACAUCUUAGAACAGCGACCCCCAGGUAUGAGGCCAGAGGAGCUCAGGAGCCCGAGUGAGUUCAACCAAGAUCAGCCGAGCCUGCCCCAG